UUGUGAGACUGCGGACGGCUCAGUAAAUCAGUUAUAAUCUAUUUGAUUGUAAAACCCAUUGGAUAACCGUGGGAAAUCUAGAGCUAAUACAUGUGAACAAUUGUGUGGCAACAUACAAUGCAUUUAUUAGACAACAACCAAUACGUAUUGUGUGGGGUAGUAAAAUAUUCUACAUGAUACGUCAAGGUGAAUCUAGAUAACUUUGCUGAUCGUAUGGCCUUGUGCUGACGACGUUUCAAUUGAAUUUCUGCCCUAUCAACUAGUUGGUAAGGUAGUGGCUUACCAAGGUUGUAACGGGUAACGGGGAAUCAGGGUUCGAUUCCGGAGAGGGAGCCUGAGAAACGGCUACCACAUCCAAGGGAGGCAGCAGGCGCGCAAAUUACCCAAUCCAGACACUGGGAGGUGGUGACGAGAAAUACUGGAUCGUUUGUGACAAACAUGCGAUACCGGAAUGAACAUAAUUUAAGACUGUUGUCGAGAAACAACUGGAGGGCAAGUCUGGUGCCAGCAGCCGCGGUAAUUCCAGCUCCAGUAGUGUCGUGUGACGUUGCUGCGGUUAAAACGCACGUAGUUGGAUUACGCAGUGUAAGAACGGUACUCAAUGUGUAGUGACAUUAAAGCUUCUUUGUGGAUUAGUACAUGGGAUAACGGAUGUACGGCGACAGUCUGCAUUACGACUUGUGUAUCUAGCUACUUUGAGGUGUUACAAUGCAUUGAAUCCAGCCGUCUUAUGCUACAUGUAUCGUGAAUGUGACAUAUAGCCUUGAUUGGUCGUGUGUUGUGUUUGCGGAGUGUGCCUUGAAUAAAUCAAAGUGCUUAAAGCAGGCGUGUUAGCUUGAAUGUUAAUAGCAUGGAACGAACAAUUGUGAAUGCACAAGUUUAGUGUAAUGUUUCAACUCUGUUGAUGCAUAUGACUGGGCUUGUGUAGCACCAACCAUUGAUACGGAUGUUGGUUUCCGUAUUGAGGUGAGUAUUAAAACGAGCGGUUGGGGGCAUUAGUAUUUGUCCGCGAGAGGUGAAAUUCUUGGACCGGACAAGGACUGACAAAUGCGAAAGCAUCUGCCUAGACCGUUUCGAUUGAUCAAGUACGAAAGUGAGAGGUUCGAAGACGAUCAGAUACCGUCCUAGUUCUCACUGUAAACUAUGCCAACCCGGGAUCAGUUUUGAGCUAAGUUAUACAUACUAUGCUCGUGGUUGGUCCCCCUGGGAAACCUCAAGUUUUUAGGUUCCGGGGGGAGUAUGGUUGCAAGGCUGAAACUUAAAGGAAUUGACGGAAGGGCACCACCAGGGGUGGAGCCUGCGGCUUAAUUUGACUCAACACGGGAAAACUCACCAGGUCAGGACAUCGAAAGGAUUGACAGAUUGAUAGCUCUUUCAUGAUACGGUGUAUGGUGGUGCAUGGCCGUUCUUAGUUCGUGGAGUGAUCUGUCAGGCCAAUCCCGGUAACGGACGAGACCAUUGUCUUCAUUUAGAGCGCUAAAGAUAGAGCAGUAAAAUGUUCUAAUGGUAAUGUAUGAAUAUGUUGGUGAAUUGAAAGAUGGAUCAAACUGUCUGAAUGUUUGCCAAAUGACAUGCAUUCCCUUUAGUUUGUAGAGCCUUAUGGUUUUAUGUUAUGAAGAGACAACCGAGUAUAUAAAGUCGGAGGAUGUUGAUGUCCAUAACAGGUCUGUGAUGCCCUAAGAUGUCCUGG
rnacentral:rRNA from 1 species